rnacentral:tRNA from 1 species
GCUCUUGUAGCUCAGUUGGUUAGAGCACCCGUUUAGUAAGCGGGAGGUCCUGAGUUUAACUCUCAACAAGAGCA